rnacentral:lncRNA from 1 species
CUGGCCUCAGAGCGCGCCAUCACCGUGAAGGUGCCCAACAACUCGGACUGGGCUGCCCGGGGCCACCGCAGCUCUGCCAACUCCGUUGUGGUCCAGCCCCAGGCCUCCGUCGGUGCUGUGGUCACCCUGGACAGCAGCAACCCUGCGGCCGUGCUGCAUCUGCAGCUCAACUAUACGCUGCUGGACGGUGCGUGCAGCGGGCCGCUACCUGUCUGAGGAACCCGAGCCCUACCUGGCAGUCUACCUGCACUCGGAGCCCCGGCCCAAUGAGCACAACUGCUCGGCUAGCAGGAGGAUCCGCCCAGAGUCCCUCCAGGGUGCCGACCACCGGCCCUACACCUUCUUCAUUUCCCCGGGCCCGCCAGGCCGUCUGCCUCACCCGCCACCUCACCGCCUUCGGCGCCAGCCUCUUCGUGCCCCCAAGCCAUGUACGCUUUGUGUUUCCUGAGCCGACAGCGGAUGUAAACUACAUCGUCAUGCUGACA